rnacentral:tRNA from 1 species
UAGCUCACUCAGUUAGAGCUUGGUGCUGAUAACACCAAGGUCGCGGGUUCGAUCCCCGC